CAGCCGCCGCGGGAAUACAGAGGGUGCGAGCGUUAAUCGGAUUUACUGGGCGUAAAGCGUGCGCAGGCGGUGCUGCAAGACCGAUGUGAAAGCCCCGGGCUUAACCUGGGAACUGCAUUGGUGACUGCAGCGCUGGAGUAUGGCAGAGGGGGGUGGAAUUCCACGUGUAGCAGUGAAAUGCGUAGAGAUGUGGAGGAACACCGAUGGCGAAGGCAGCCCCCUGGGCCAAUACUGACGCUCAUGCACGAAAGCGUGGGGAGCAAACAGGAUUAGAUACCCCCGUAGUCCCUGUCUCUUAUAC
rnacentral:rRNA from 1 species